UGGGGUAGUGCAGACACCCCGUUAGACGAGAACACCCCGUCCAAGGUCUGC
rnacentral:ncRNA from 1 species